UAGGGAAUCUUCGGCAAUGGACGAAAGUCUGACCGAGCAACGCCGCGUGAGUGAAGAAGGUUUUCGGAUCGUAAAACUCUGUUGUUAGAGAAGAACAAGGACGUUAGUAACUGAACGUCCCCUGACGGUAUCUAACCAGAAAGCCACGGCUAACUACGUGCCAGCAGCCGCGGUAAUACGUAGGUGGCAAGCGUUGUCCGGAUUUAUUGGGCGUAAAGCGAGCGCAGGCGGUUUCUUAAGACUGAUGUGAAAGCCCCCGGCUCAACCGGGGAGGGUCAUUGGAAACUGGGAGACUUUAGUGCAGAAGAGGAGAGUGGAAUUCCAUGUGUAGCGGUGAAAUGCGUAGAUAUAUGGAGGAACACCAGUGGCGAAGGCGGCUCUCUGGUCUGUAACUGACGCUGAGGCUCGAAAGCGUGGGGAGCAAACAGG
rnacentral:rRNA from 1 species